GGGGCAGCGCCGGGGCGCCAACGCCGAGGGGCUGUUCUUUUAAAAAACCCUCCUUUUCUCCGGGCUGAACCCAAAGCCUUCUUUUCUCCGGGCUGAACAAUCCCACCUCUCAGCCUUUCCGCGUACGAGAGGUGCUCCAGCCCUCUAAUCAUCUUCGUUGCCCUUAGUUCUUGUUUGUAAGAAGUAUCACUGUUUCUGUAUCCUUACACCCUUCAGACGUUUAACGGUGUGAGCUUUUCAGCAUUCCUGGUGAAUUACACAUUCUGGGAAUUAAUCAAAGCUAUUUAGUGAAUGAAGUUAUUGCGUGGAGGAUCUGCCUGUCCUUACCUGUGACAGAGGGAUGGUACAUAUAUACAGGAGGAGAAUGGAUUUCAGGAAGGGCAUGAGCGUCUCGGAGUAAAAAUAAUUAAAUUCUGCCGAGAUCAGCUGCUGUCCAGGGACACCACCCAGGUCUAAUUCAGAGAAAAAAUAGUCAGACUGAAGCACAGCAAAAGGUGAAGAAGUUGCGAUGAGGAACUUGGUGGUACAUGAACUCUGCAAACCAGCUGGACACGACAAACAGCCUUGGUCUGAGGGCACGUGUGGGGUACAGGAGAAGCAGGGAUGAGAUCCAUAUGGAGUCAACACAUCAUUCCUCACGCUACAGAAUGGUGCAAAUACCUCCAGUCAGUGAGGUGGUUGCCUGGUGUGGUGGAGAAUUGGAAUGGGAUAGACACACUAGGAAUAUGAGACUUUUACGUGUACACCCAAGUAAGUCUGAUAAAGAACCCAAGUGGAAAUCUCUUGGUCACAAAGAAUACAAUUACAGAGCGAUAGAGGGAGUGCUUUAAUGAGCUGCUUAAUUGUGAGAGGAAGAAAGACAAACAAUAAAUGGUUAUUCUCCAAGCAGCUGAGCCAUUUGUGGAUGGAUUUCAAGAGAUUUAAGAGGCAAUCAAAAUACAGGCAGUAAGUAACAAAACACCAGGUGCUGAUAAUGUUUCUACUGAAAUAUGAAAAUAAAAGGGGGGAAAUUACUGAAAGAUUUUACAAGGUCACUUGUUUGGUCUGCAGAUCUAAAAAACAACUGCCAAGUAAGAAAAGAGACAUACUUGGAUGAAAUCUUUAAAAUUAAUCAAUUUCUGCGGGAAAUAUAUUUUUUAUAAAGCAAGAAAAAACCUAUAUCAGUAUAUGUCAUGAGGUGAUCUUUUGGCAGUGAAAUCUUUUUAAAUCCUUGUUCAAAAAAAAAGGAAGUAUUUGAGUGGUGCAGGGAUGAUGGACCAUCUGGCCAAGAAAACAUUUAAUUUUCAGGCAUUUCACAUUUUAAAUGUUUGAAUAAUCUCAAAUCUUUUAAAACACUUCUCUACAAAAAAACCUACAAAACCCAAUAAAAAAGGAAAAAAACACACCCAACACCCCACCACCACACCUGUUCCAAAAAUCCAGCUCUGAGUAACUGCAACUCAGAAGGUGACACUUCAGCAAUAUAAUAAGGCACUGAGGUGUGGAAGGUUAUUUUAAAGUGUACUGGGUGAACCUGACUAAAACCAGCUCCAACCACAGCCCUUGUAGGUAUCUCUGUACUCGUGUAUUAACAGUUUGGGGCCAGCUCUGUGAAGUUUCAA